UGGGGAAUUUUGGACAAUGGGCGAAAGCCUGAUCCAGCAAUGCCGCGUGUGUGAAGAAGGCCUUCGGGUUGUAAAGCACUUUUGUCCGGAAAGAAAUCCUUGGCUCUAAUACAGUCGGGGGAUGACGGUACCGGAAGAAUAAGCACCGGCUAACUACGUGCCAGCAGCCGCGGUAAUACGUAGGGUGCAAGCGUUAAUCGGAGUUACUGGGCGUAAAGCGUGCGCAGGCGGUUUGCUAAGACCGAUGUGAAAUCCCCGGGCUCAACCUGGGAACUGCAUUGGUGACUGGCAGGCUAGAGUAUGGCAGAGGGGGGUAGAAUUCCACGUGUAGCAGUGAAAUGCGUAGAGAUGUGGAGGAAUACCGAUGGCGAAGGCAGCCCCCUGGGCCAAUACUGACGCUCAUGCACGAAA
rnacentral:rRNA from 1 species